AUGAAGAUGAUUGCUGAAAUCAGUCAUAGAUUGGGAAACAAGACGCCUUACACUUUGGCUUUCCCAGGGUUAACUAUGGGAUUGUGCUUAAGGGCUCGUAUCCUGCUUCCAUCUAUGGUUCACGAGACCAUUGAUGGUGUUAUGGAUGAAUGGUACAUUGAGAGACAUUGUGUAACAAAUCCAAGCAGGCGAAGAAACACUUCAGCUCCUUCUGGAUCAACAAACCUGAAUUAUGAUGAUUGGGAUCCUAGGCAAAAAGAUGCUUGCACAUACACUUGA